rnacentral:rRNA from 1 species
AACGAACGCUGGCGGCAGGCUUAACACAUGCAAGUCGAACGGGCCCUUCGGGGUCAGUGGCAGACGGGUGAGUAACGCGUGGGAACGUGCCCUUCAGUUCGGGAUAACCCAGGGAAACUUGGGCUAAUACCGGAUACGUGCGAGAGCAGAAAGAUUUAUCGCUGAAGGAUCGGCCCGCGUCUGAUUAGCUGGUUGGUGGGGUAAUGGCCCACCAAGGCGACGAUCAGUAGCUGGUCUGAGAGGAUGAUCAGCCACAUUGGGACUGAGACACGGCCCAAACUCCUCCGGGAGGCAGCAGUGGGGAAUAUUGGACAAUGGGCGCAAGCCUGAUCCAGCCAUGCCGCGUGAGUGAUGACGGCCUUAGGGUUGUAAAGCUCUUUCGCACGCGACGAUAAUGACGGUAGCGUGAGAAGAAGCCCCGGCUAACUUCGUGCCAGCAGCCGCCGUAA